CUGUCCCCGCUCCCCGUCCCGCUCCCCCCGCUCCCACCCCGUCCCGCAUCAUCCCGCACCGCUCCGCAGCCCCACGUGCCCCGCGCCGCCCGCAGCCGCGCCGGCUCCAACAUGGCGGACAGGAAGCGGCCCCAGCGCGGCGGAGAAGCUUCCAGCCGGGCCGGGGGAGGAGGAUGAUGAAGGAUGGAGGAUGGAUGAAGGAUGAAGCCCCCCCCCCAGGAGCCGCCCGCCGCCCCCCGCCCCGCACCUGUUCUCCGCUUGGGCCCCUCCGGGUGUCGGAGCGUCGCUUUGGGCUGGGCCCGGCCGUCGGGCGGCGGCAGGAAGGAGCUCUGCGGCAUCACGGUGUGACCCGGCUCGGAACGGAGCCCCAGCGGCGUCCAGCUCAACGCCCGGCUCCGAGCGGCACCGACCCGCCGUCCUUGCCCCCCUCUGCAGCUCCGUGAUGUCCGCGGCCAAAUGAGCCCACGGGGGACGGUCCCGGCUGGGUAAUGGAGCCCCAGAGCUUUGGGGUGUCACUCCACGGCCACGCGGAACAACGCGGACCCCACGUUCCCCACGGACACCCAACGGGGCGGUGGGAUUUGGGCUCCAUUAGCAGCGCAGGGGGAUGGGGGGUCGCCAGGGGGACACACUUGGGAUGGAGAGACCCAAAAGUGAGCCCACGUUUUGUCUGGGUCAGAUGGAGAUCCCCAUGCAGGCAGCGCUCAGUGCGGCUUUAACCUCCUGCAGCAAACAGGGCGAUAGAAUUGAAGCCCAUCACAAUAUCCUCCCAAAGAGUAUCCAGAGGGCACAGACCGCCCUUAACCACCACUUCCUACCUUCUCCCACAUAACAACCCCAUAUAUUUCAAUAAAGCUCAGCUCCGUCCUGCAUCACACAGAGCCCCCCCACACCUCAGUGCAGCACAGGGGUUGUCCUCCUGCAUAACCCUGCACACAAGGCAAAACUUCCUACUGUGCUGACCUCACUUAGGAAACAGCUCCCGAAGCGAGGAGCCGGGCUUUAAUCACAGCUCACAUUUUAUUGGUGGCUUGGAAGUGGUUUAUUCUCAAUGUAAGGGACUGGUUUGGAGACAGGAGCUUCAAAGGACUCUGGAGAAAGCGAGUAAUUAUGGACAAAUCAUCUCCGCACACAGAGACAGCAGAAAUCUAAAUGCAAAGCUCAGAGGGAUGGCUGGACAUGAAGGGACUUUCUCUCCUUAGAAGCUCCGCUCUGUGUGUGCAUCACAUGGAGCAUCCAGAGCAGGAGAAACCAGAUGGAAACACACAUAAAGGCUCAUCCCAGUGAUUUGUAGGAAUCAUUUCUAAGACCAGUUCCCUCUCGAAGGUCUAUUUGACACCAGGUUUAAUUUGCAUCGUAUGUUCAGGGCGAGCUGGAAUGAGAGAAUUCAUCCACAGGAAGAGAAAGAUCUCAUCAGCCAUGGGAAGAAAAGGGACUUAUUGCGUCCACCUCCAUCCAACACGUCAGCAGCACACAGCCAUGAUGCAGCAGGUGGUAUGGGGUGAUAUGGGGUGAUAUGGGGUGAUAUGGGGUGAUAUGGGGUGAUAUGGGGUGAUAUGGGGUGAUAUGGGGGCAGGGCUCACUUUGGAGCAGCACCGUUUUAUAGGAUGAGCACAGAACCCACAAGGAAGCAGCACAAACCCGCUUUAGGUUCUCCUUUAGGAGCCGGGCGGACCCGCAUUGCUGCUGGCCUCAGACUUUGACCUCUGGAAGACAAAUGGGAAAAGCUCAGUCCACAAAUCCCAAGGACUUUUCAUCUGGUUAUACAACACAGCACUCACGGGGCUGCUGCUCAUUUGCUUGGCGUUCUCACUGCAUUGGGACACCAAGCACUUGUUUGAUAGCGGGGACUUCAUAAAGAGAAACACACAUCGGGUCUGCAUGCAUCCAACGUGUAGAAACUGAAAUGGUUGUGCUUGGAUUCACAGUCCUCAACCUGAACAUGCCCAGCCCUGGCAGAAGCCAAAGCUGCAGGUGACUGUUGGAGUUCUGAUGUUCAUGAUGUGGUCCAGAACAACCACAAUUGACUACAAGAGUCACUACAAGAGGAGGGGAUGGGAGCAGCCCUUUAUCAGGAGCAGAACUGAAGAGUGGGAGGAAUUGAAUCAGGAAGUCUGCAGUGAAGGCGCUGCAGGAGGAGCAGCACAGAGACAGCACUGAGAGCUUCUGAUCGCCUUAUUGGGACACAAAGGGUGGGCAAAUAGCAAAUGAAACCAUAGGCAGCCACCUCGUGGUGCCCUGCGUAAAGCACAGAGCUCACAGACAUUGGGAGCAAGGCGUUGUCAGCAUUCCCAAAGGGUGGGCAUCAUUCAGCUGAAAGUAAAUACGAAUAUCUAUGAGCUGAGCUUUUAGAAGGCUGACUGCACAUUACUCAUCAUGUCUACGUCUCAGGGGUGAGGGGAGAGAGCAGCUAAGCCAUGGCUGUGCCUGGGCAGGGAGGGGAUCAGGAGGGGCACAGAGCCCCGACUUGCAGACCAAGCCCUGGUUGCUGCACAGCAGCUUCACUGCUGGCUUCUUGCAUCCCCAACUUACUGGAUCCGUGCUCCAGUUUGCAAGAGGUACCUGGGUUAUUCUGUGACACAAGGCACGGUACGAAGCUCGCUCUGACCUCAUCUUUUGCCCUACUUCCUUAUCUUGGAAUCUGGUGCACAGUGCCACGCUUGUUCUCCCACAUCGUUCCCUUCGCUGCCCUUCUCCUGGUGAGGGCGGCGUUACAGAGCAAGGCUUGGUGGGGAGUUACACUGCACAGCUCCCCAGGUGGGGGGGCCGUUCAGCUGCCUCCUUUAAAUGCAAACUACACCUGGAGCUGAACCCUGGGUACGAGACCCCCCAGCUCAGCUGGGAAGCAGCUUCAUAGUGCAGUCAGCAGCACCCUGCAUUGCACUGCUCAGACUGCAGCGGAGCUCCCGUCUGCCCCAGCAAAGGCUGUGAGCAAUCCCUGCCUGCUCUGAUUCACCGAGGAACCGACACACCAAAAUUCACUCCAGAUAUAUAUAUAUAUAUAAAAUGCUAAGCUUGGCUUGGCUGAUAAUGUAUCUAAUGGCUGGGAAGAUCGGGGGAAUAGAAGGGAGAUGAGAGAGAGAACAGCACUACAUUGCUAUGGAAACCAGCAGUUUCAAAAUAAAUACCUUUGCAGAACUGAGGUUGCAGAUCUAAAAUAAUCCGUGGCGUUUCUGCCGUUUCCUCCCUUUGCCACCAGCCCCUUCCAGGCUGAGCAGCCUGCAGUGACACAGGAUAUCCCACGGCUCAAGUUCCUUAUUCCACUUCAGGGCCCUGAAUAGAAACCUCAGCCUUUGGUCUGUACCUGUAUUUUUGGGGCCUUGCAGACCAAGUCCACGAGCACCUGAAGGGAAGGUGUUAUUCUUAUCCCAGUACAUUGGGAUAUAUUCCUCGGCAACCCGAGCCAACACAGUAUCUAAAGCUCUGAUUCUAUUACUCCCUAGGAAGCUCCUUACCCUACAAAUGACCCCAAUGCAAUUACGGCUCAGCCUUUUGCUCCCCAUUAGCCCCAUUUCAGCUGCUGAUAUCCAUGAUGGUGUUUGGGCAAAGGGACACUACAGCUCACACACACCUCACUGCUGCUGCUGCUGCAAACCAGGCUGGGUUCCGGCAGUGCUGACUCACGGUGCAGAGCCUAUGGGAAAUAUUUGCUUAAAGAAGCAAAGCCCGGCAGGUUUCCUGCCCCUCCUUAUCUGCCAGCCCCUCACACUGCGGGCUGGAAGGGGGCCCUGCUUCCUGAGUGGGGGCAUGGAGCGGGUGCUUGUUUCCUAUAGAUAGCCCAGGUUCCUCUCUGCUCCCUGGGAGAGAAGCCCCCAAUGCCCACCACCGCAGGUCUGCAACUGCACAGAGAUGAGCGGCUCCAGGGUGGGCUGCCCUGAUAAAGCAUCGCCCACCUCAGUGCGUUUCCUGCCCUGCUGUGUGCCACAGAACACGCUCAUCCCUACAGCCUUCCCUGAGCUGCAAUCUGAUUGCUGCCUUCAGCACAGCUGAGUCAGUGCAGACAGCAGCAAUCAGUGUUUGCUUUGGGAGGGUUUGCCACGCAGCCAGACGCAGGCAAGCAGCGCUGGGUGCGAGGGAUGGUUUGCUGUGGGUACAUCAGUGCAAGUGAGGAGGGAUCUGAACCCACACUGAGCUGCUGGGGCAGCACAGGGGUGGUCAUGGUGCUUUCUGCCUGUGUUUGCAUGCUGCUGUGCCACAGCUCAGUGCUGCAUUCGACCCACACACCAAGCUGGGUGCCCACUGCAUCCACAGCUCACCUUCCUGCUGGGAAACAGGCUCAGCAUUUAGGGAAACAACCACAUCUGAUGCCCACACUGUUCAUGUGGCAAAUGACUUCAGAAACCCUCAGCAGCAAAGAGCCUUUAUGAGGGGUGGGACGGAAGAGUUGCUGAGCUGCCUCCUCCUCCCAGGACCUACGCAACUCAUUUGCAAAGAAGCAAGAGGGUGAGGAGCUCCAUUUGCAAGCUGGGCAGGGCAGGCUGCGGGCAGAGCUGGAUUGCAGUGCUCAGAAUGACUGUGCUAAAGGUCUGGGUAAUGACCCGGCAGGAGCUCCCACAACCAACCUACAACACAAGUUGGCUCCCCACCGAUCUCUCUUACCUUCCCAGGCAGGUGAAUAGAAAUCUUUACAGUGCAGCACAAUGCUGGAAGAGCAAGUUGGGCUGAAGGCCUAUAAACACCCCCUGGGCUCGUUUCUAUCAGCUGGAACCUGAUGUGGAAACGUUCCUUGAGUUCAUGCCCUUGGAUUAUACUAAAAAAGGCAAAGUCCUGCUGCACCUCGAGGACACCUAGUGCUGGAGAGGGAGAACAGAGGGCAACUGCACAACAGUAAAAGCGUGCUGAUGAACCCAGGUGCUGGGUCAGCAAGAUGAAAGCCAAUACAGUGAGGUAUCUGUGAGGCACGAACCAAAAGAUCACAGGCAACACCUCAACUCUUAACCCCCCAAUUCAAACUGGUUUUGAUAUAAAAUGCCGCUUACCAAAGCCAUGUCCCCUAGCAGGCUCCUCACACUGGGGUUUCUUGCACCUCUUGUCCCUAUCAGAGGCUGCAGAUGGGCACAGGGAACAGAUCCAGCUGUCAUUUGGCCACUGCGUGGCUUCCACCCUCUUGUGCCUCUCUUCCUCUAUCACAAAUGUACUUUAUAAUGCAGGGAGGGCAAAGAGCUACCAUAAAACAGAGACAGCUGACAUCAGCAGCAGGCUGCUCCUUGCAAACAGCAGCUGUUAGGUGAUGGCUGCACGGAGACUGAGGAGGGAGCGAGGUCAUCCCAGGACAGGUGAACUAAGAAGUGAAGGAACUGUUAGGUCAUGCCCCAUACAUAGCAAGCAGCUUAUCAUCAUGGGGAAGCAGUCUUUGUUUUUAAAUGAAUCACUUUGAGGACGCCAGCUUCCAUCUUGUGCUUCCUUUUCAUCAGCGCUCCGUUUUAAGAAGCUCUAAACCUCAAAAGCUGGUGCAGAGGUAGGGGCAAAGCUAUAGAGAACUGCAGCCACACCACCACAUUGCACAGGGCAUGAAUUGAGGCCACAGCCCCCAAACAACACUGCAAACAAAGCCAGCACAGCCUAACACUGCCCCUGUGAGCAUUGACUGUACCUGUAUUGCAUGGAUGUGCUGCACAGCCUGGGAGAACCCAUCUGAGCUGUGAUGUGCUGCACCAGCCUGCCAAGCAAAGCAUUCACACAUCAGCAGAAGCCACGUUACCCCCAGAGGCACAGGGAUGCGUUCAGUACCCAGGAUGGAGAAUGCAAGGCACAGCACUGCGCUCUGCAGAUUGCAGCCACACGCAGCAGCCCUGCCGUGUGCUUUUCUGCUGCUCCUGGCUAAUUGCUGGAUGACAGGGGCUCUCUGAACAUCCCUCACCUUGCCCAUGCUGAACACUGCUGGACGUGCAAACACACCUCCAAGUCUGGAGGGGCCCCCAGCACCAUUGGGCUGCACUGCUGCAAGGGUUCUGCUGGCAUCCCCAUCAGAAACAUCUGCCUGUGCCACAGGAUGUUCUUUUCUAUUGGCAGCUCACUUUGUCUCCCUUGAGCUGAGAGAACAGAACUCUAGUGCUAUUCCCCUGCUUAUGGUGCUUCCUCAAAGCAAACCUGUGGAUCUCUGCCCUCCACCCACAACGUCAUGACAGCGACGUCGGCUCAGCGUGAAGAUCAGAUCAUAAAUGCAGAACAGCUGCUUAAGCAGAACGUAGGAAAGAAGCAGGGAUGUUGCUGGGCAGAGAAAAGCACUGCUACAGCUCACAGAUAGCCUCCUUCCUCCAAAGGCACAUGCGUACUGUAGCACUCAGUCACAUUUCUCUCCAGCUUCCUGGUAGCAGCAUCAGCGUGUUCUGUCACCUCUGACUGCUGCAGGACUCUGUCCCCGUCUGACAGCAAUGACCUGGCCUCAGGUUUUCACCAUUCUGUCACCUCCUCCCUCCCUUUCAGCCCCAUUAAAUCACUAGGCAUGAAAGCUGCAGCACAAAGGAAAUCCUUGCCAGCACCUCCUGCUGCAGCGCAGCUCCCUCGGCAGCACAGGCUGCAGGCAAGGCAAACCUCUCCUAACCUACAUUUGGUUCACAUAGUGUUGCAAAUCAGGCACUGCCAAACCUGGCUGAGGCUCCUUUCCACAUCCAGACUAACAUGCACAACAGAUUAACCCCCUGAGGACGGCAGGAGCAGCUUUUCCUCUUGUUUACCCAGCUCUACCUGCACUGAACGGCAGCAGGAGUGCUGUCCCGUAUCACCACCACCACCUUUAAGGAAGUAGCUGACCUGCAAGUUAUUUUUAGUGGCAUUGGGAAGUUGUGAAGCUAUUUUGGUCUCAUCUCUGCACGGUGAGCUGCAGGACGCUGACAGGCUCUGUGUUUGCCUGGGGCAGCGGGGCUUUAAGCUGUGAAUGGGAACGGCAUGUGACUUUGCACUAAGGCCUCUCUGCCCUUUCUGUGCCAUAAGAAUCUUUACACCGAGGUUUUUCUUUCUAAUCAUUUUAGAAAUAAGCAGCACAACUUUCCGAGCUCCGCAGGGAUCCCUUUAGAGCCCUUGUGUUGUUGUCCUCCAGCCUGUGCUGCUUCCAAGUCUGCAGAAGGUGCUAUUUAUACUGUGGGAGCCCUCACUCCCAUUUGCUUUACUCACCAGGAGGCUAAAGGUGCAAUUAGGAGUCCACAAAGAUUUGAUCCAUCUUUUGCAACAGACCUGUGCAGGAGAUCAAUACACAUUAGGCCGGCACCUGCUGAGAGAUCAGCACAUGUGAUUCUGCAGAGGCAGAAGGGAAAGCAGAGAGGAACCACUCACACAACAAGGCGCUGUUCUGGAUGCAGAUUAGUGCCUGGGGGACGUCCAGGGCAUCAGGCAGAAGGUUCCUGGUCUAGACAGUUGUUUUCUCUGCAGAGCCGAAGGGUUGCUGCCAAGUUUGCUGGGGCUGUAGCAGGUGCAAAGCCCAGGCAGAGCAGGAGCCAAAGCAACUGGACUGAACAGAAUUAAACCCAGAUACAAAAGGAAGCUUGAAGAAUAGCAAAGAUGAAGUGAACAGAAUGAAAAAAUGGGAUCUGGUAUGAUCAGACAGGGAUGGAUGAGUCAGACACAUCGAGGAGGAGCAAGUGAGUAAACAUAUAUGUGAGUUUUUAAACAGCUGUCAGUCGUCCCUCCCCAGAAAACUCCUCUCAGGAUGCUGCUGUCUCCAAUAGUCACAUGCCUUCCCAGCUCUCUUCAGACAGACACAUUAACACCACUAUCCUGCCCAGCACAAGCUUCCCACACAGCAAGAGGAACCAGGACGUCCUCAGCUCAAAUCCCACCUCAUGUCUUCUUUUUCCUUCCCUGACUUUCAUCUAGAGGCUCCACCAAAACACACACCCUGCUCCUAAGGUGCGCUGCUCCUUCCCCCUGUGGAUGCAACAGGCACCUGUCUAUGAGUCAGCACAGCCCACAUCUCCCCUCCAUCACAGGACCCAACACCCUCAGACUGUCCCAAACACUUCCCAACAAACACUUGAUUGAUUUCACUGGCAACUCUGCCUUGCAGGAUGAGCUGCUUUAACUUUGUCUUAGACAAACAGGAAUGGUUUGUGUAUUUUACAGCCUUCUGCAAUCAGCUGACCAUUAACUAAUGAAAUCUUAUGCAAUUUACAUUAGAAGUAGUUCAGUAAGAAAUCAAUUUGUGUUCUUUUUUUGUGAAUACAUAGAAUGGCACAGACUGAAUUAUGACAUUUAAUACACUGUUAUUUGGUCCAGACAGGACUGCUGCAGACUCAGAUGUGUCCAGCAACUGCACAUCAAGACACGUUGGAUCCAAAAGCUCAGUGAAGAGUUCUGCCUUUAGUUCAUUCCUCUGAACACAAUUCAUCCACCCACCCCAUACAGCACCACCAGUGUCAUUGCUCCCUUCAUAUUGCCAUCUCCAUACUGCAGUAUGGGAGAUGCAUUUGAAGUAUCCCUUCACCUGUUCUGCUUCCUGGUAUGGAAGCUGCAGACACACAGCAAUAAACCAUGGGCCACUCAGCCCACAGACACAGCCUGAGCUCGUCCACCCACGGUGCCAUCCAGGCAUGGCACACAAUGCGCUUCUGCUGACAAGUGCAAUUGUUCGGGUCUCCUCUAGGGAGUGCAGUCGUAAAGGGAGAAAGAGGAAACUGCAGCACAAAAGGCAGCUGAUAAUGUGUGACUCAGGAUAUUCGCACAGUCACUAAUGGUGUCUGCCCAUUUCAUGUCGAAAACGGAGAGCAGGUGAGGGCUGAGCUGGAGGUAAGAGCAGGAUGCCACUGGGAAGCUUUCAUUUGGGAAAGAAGAGGCUUCCAAGAUACUAAAGCAAAUGACUCAAGAUGUAAAUCAAGCAAUGAAACUUCAAAUAUUGACACAAACCCAAACAGUUAAACCAUCACACCCGCAGGUGGCUGUAGCACAGACAGCACUGCUAUGGGCCCUCCAUCUCUGGCCCUUCACAGCCAUCAGAUCACCUGCUGAAAGCAAGCUCAGUCUCAAAACAUCAUUCAGACCUCGGCCUCCAUGCAAAGAGCUGCAGACUCAUUUCCAGGACUAGCUGUGCUUUGCCUGUAUUGUACAUCAUGGUUCUAGAACACUGGCAGACACACAAGCUUAUUGCAUGCUGCAGUCACACAGCAGCCAGGCAGUCAGCUGCAGGACCUGGCUGAUCCUGGGGGCAGGGAAUCCUGGAGCAAGAGACACAAAACGCUGCUUAGUUCCUCCUUGCAAAUCCCACGUGUGCCUCAAUUCUAAGACCACCGACAUCUUCCUUAAAGAAGCACCGAAACAUGAAACAAAUCCUCUUGGAAUGGAAUAUUCACCAAGAGAAUCCACAUUCCUGGGCACAAGAAAGACAUUUAAGGAAUGCAGAAACAAUACUACCAUCCACCUGAGGCAAAGGGCAAGAGAAUAGACUUGCUAGGUAACAGAGCUGGUCUGCAGCAGCUCUGCAUAAACACAUUCAGUCAAUGCCAGCUCGAUCCUUGUCCGAGGAACUGUGUAACAGCCCAUAGCAGGAGGCAAAGCCAUGGGGCACAAGCUUUGUGUUCAGCCAGCAAGAACCAGCUGAAGAGAACCAUCUGAUGCCUGAACUGCUGCCUCCCACUUUCUGUCUCACCAUCUCACUGCUUAGCUUAGCCACACAUGUAAGGUACCACAAGUUAACUCACUCAUCCAUUCCUUUUAUCAUAGAUGCUCUUGCAUGCCAGCAGCCCUGUUGUUCCUGUGUCAGUACGACACGUCAAUAGAAGCUGUGAUAAAUAAAAAGGACCCAUCAGCUCUUCCUUGCCCUUGCAAAUAAAGGAGCUUCUCCUCCCUGACCUAUCUACCUUUAUAUUUUACGUGUCAGCAAUGCUGUCUACCACAAUCUUGAAAAGCUACAGGUGCUUUGUAAUAGAGGCAAGGGAAAGGCAGCCUUAGCAUUUAAAGAUCUUAAGAAAUAUGCAAAGAUUUCUAUGGUAAUUUCUGGUGAGGGCACAACUGAUUUCUCCAGAGAACACUCCUGCUGUGUGUAUUACCACGGUCUCUCCACCUAUUUAGGAUUCCCACUCUGGAUUACAAGCUACCUUCACACAGGAGACAUUAAAGCUUCCAAUGAGGUCACACAGCCGCUGACAGGCGCUGAUGGGUGAGUCAUGCUGCAGUAGCCAGAGAUACAAGCAACAGAUUUGUUCAUCUGCAUGCAGCCUAACCCUUUUUCUGGGCUAAAAUUUUAUUCAAGAGCCAAACACGGUGUCUCAAAUAGAGGGGACUGCAGAACUGCUGAGGGACAGGGCCAUAUUUUCACAACAGCUUUACAGAUUAUGAGCAGAAUCAGUUCUAGGGAGUUAUGUUUACAACAUCACAAUGUGUCAUUUUACUUGUAAAAUGCAAGACCAGGAUCCACUGGAUCAAUGGGGAAACCAUUCAUUGCAGAAAACCAACUGAAGACUGCAUGAUUAUAAUGAGUUUCUUCCAAAUCUCACACUAUUAAUCACCUUUCACCCCUCUGUGCCAUAGGCCUCUCCUCGUCCAUCCAUCCAAAGAACAGAACCAAGACAAGAACCUCUCCCUGUGCUGCUUCCUUCCAUCAGUUGUUCCUCAAGGCCAAGGCUGAGCUGGUAUUCUGGAAUAUGCAUCCUAGCAUUAGUGUAUCACAACAGGGCAAUUACUGACAGCCACCCAAACAGCACACAGGUGUUGGAUACAGAGAAGCACAAGGACAUCAAAACUGGAGGUGCUGCUCAGAUGAAGAUGCAGGGCCUCACCCAGUACCUGGUAGAAGGACACAGACACUGCCAGCACUGCUCGGACAUCAGCUGCCUAUGGGAAAAGAAUGCGUGCAUUUAACUCCAGGCAAUUCUCUGAAUAUCUCAGAAGUAAGUUCAUUUGGCACAUAUGUCAUAAGUUUGUUGUUAGUCUCUUGCAGAGAAGGGUAAAAAUCCCCAGGUGUCCCCAAGUUACACUAUUUAUGAAAGAAAUCAGAGGAAAGUAACACACAUCUGGCAAAAGGAAUCUUUCAAACCUCUAAAAAUGCUCCCAAAGAAAACGCAUUGCAGACAUCCUCCCGUUCGGCCUUCUCCAGCAGAAGACAUGCCUGCCUAGAGUCCCUUGGGAACCUGACACAGAAUCAAGUGGCACACUGGCACUUCUAUGUCAUUGCCCAACGUGGCAGCUGCUGAGGAAGGAAGAGCUGUUGAGUCACAGGACAAGCCACUCUUCCACUUCUGUCUGGUUGCCCAGAGGGCAGAGUGGGACAGUCAGAAGGCUGAGAUUCUGCUCGUGCCUCUGACACUGCUUCCCCAUGUGACACUGGUAACUGCUUCCCCCUCUUGUGACUCUUUCCCCCUUUAUUCCAUGGACACCUCCAUUCUCUUGAAUCGUGGGACAACCACAGACAGCAAAGAACAACCUUUCUCCAACAAAAGGUAGGAGCACACUGAAGUAUUAUUGUUUUCUUAUAAUACAAACGUGGUUAUGUAAUAGUGGUGCUAUUGCUUCAGUUGUGUCAUUACGGCAGGACACUGCCUGACACGCACCAAGCGAUACAGGUUGUUAUGAUCUGCUUUUGCAAGGCUAUCUCAGCUAUUUCGACCAGCCUUUCUCUAGAACAUGUUUUUCCUGUAUAACCUUGUAACCCACGAUAAUGGUCUAAGCUACUACUGGAACGAUGGCACGUUUGAUGAGCAAAUAAAACAGUUCUUCUCUUGUGCGUUU